rnacentral:rRNA from 1 species
UACGAAGGGGGCUAGCGUUGUUCGGAAUCACUGGGCGUAAAGCGCACGUAGGCGGAUUGUUAAGUCGGGGGUGAAAUCCUGGAGCUCAACUCCAGAACUGCCUUCGAUACUGACGAUCUCGAGUCCGGGAGAGGUGAGUGGAACUCCGAGUGUAGAGGUGAAAUUCGUAGAUAUUCGGAAGAACACCAGUGGCGAAGGCGGCUCACUGGCCCGGUACUGACGCUGAGGCACGAAAGCGUGGGGAUCAAACAGG